rnacentral:rRNA from 1 species
UGCCUUCGCCAUCGGUGUUCCUCCGCAUAUCUACGCAUUUCACUGCUACACGCGGAAUUCCAUCCCCCUCUGCCGCACUCUAGCCUUGCAGUCACAAUGGCAGUUCCCAGGUUGAGCCCGGGGAUUUCACCACUGUCUUACAAAACCGCCUGCGCACGCUUUACGCCCAGUAAUUCCGAUUAACGCUUGCACCCUACGUAUUACCGCGGCUGCUGGCACGUAGUUAGCCGGUGCUUAUUCUUACGGUACCGUCAUGACCCGGGGAUAUUAGCCCCAGGCUUUUCGUUCCGUACAAAAGCAGUUUACAACCCGAGGGCCUUCAUCCUGCACGCGGCAUUGCUGGAUCAGGCUUUCGCCCAUUGUCCAAAAUUCCCCACUGCUGCCUCCCGUAGGAGUCUGGGCCGUGUCUCAGUCCCAGUGUGGCUGGUCGUCCUCUCAGACCAGCUACAGAUCGCAGGCUUGGUAAGCCUUUACCCCACCAACUACCUAAUCUGCCAUCAGCCGCUCUA